AGAAACAGAACUUAGCGACCUCAGUCCCACAAAUAUAUGUGCGAGGGGGGAUGUAGGGUGGAGGGGAGUAAAGAAAAGAAACAGAGAACCAGGAGAAGAAAGAAAGAAAGAAAGAACAAGAAAAUGUUACAGUCGUUGUUCUCACUUCUCCAAUUGACAGAACCUCACCAUUCUAUAUAACUAAGCAAACCAUGAACCUGCUUCGCUGAUGCAGUAGUAAACACUAAUCAUCUUAGCAACUAAUCCUUGCAGUUCUUGCAAGCUGAAGUGUGGAUUAGAGUGCAAGCAUGGAGAAGGUAUGCAGGCUAUCCUCAUUGGAUUGCGUGUUUAACCGCCCUUCCUCGGCAACCCUCUCUUGGAACAGCCGCAGUGCUCUCUGCCAUCUAUGGCCAUUUCGUGCUGGAGCUUCAGAGAAGAGCACACGGUUUAGUCGAAAGAAGAAGAGCCUCAAUGCGAAGACCAUGUCGGUAUAGGAUCCCCUCAUCCGCACUGCGAGUGGAAGCUUAAGCAAGAAGAACCACAGGAGGGCUACAUGGAGAUGGUAGUGACCACCACCACCACUGGCAGCCAGAAGCUUUAGCUUCAGCAUCACCACCAAGUCCACUGCCAUUCCCUGAUCCAGUGUAGUGGAAAAGGAUAAA
rnacentral:lncRNA from 1 species